CCUAAGACAUGCAAGUCGAACGAGAUGGCCCAUUGAUAGUGGAGUGCUUGCACAAAGCUGGAUUUGGAUCACCAUCUAGUGGCAGACGGGUGAGUAACACGUGGGUGACCUACCUUUUCGUUGGGAUAACAGUUGGAAACGAUUGCUAAUACCGAAUAAAAUAUAAGAGUCAAUCUUAUAUUGAAAGGAGCCUUUAAAGCUUCGCGAUUAGAUGGGCCUGCGGCGUAUUAACUUGUUGGUGAGGUAAUGGCUCACCAAGGUAACGAUGCGUAGCCGAACUGAGAGGUUGAUCGGCCACACUGGGACUGAGACACGGCCCAGACUCCUACGGGAGACAGCAGUUAGGAAUAUUCGUCAAUGGGGGGAACCCUGAACGAGCAAUGCCGCGUGAGUGAUGAAGGUCUUAUAGAUUGUAAAACUCUGUUGUAUGGAAAAAAUGACUAGGUUAGGAAAUGAACUUAGUGUGAUGGUACCAUACCAGAAAGCCCCGGCUAACUACGUG
rnacentral:rRNA from 1 species